rnacentral:tRNA from 3 species
CCGGGAUAGCUCAGUUGGUA